rnacentral:rRNA from 1 species
AUGAACGCUGGCGACGUGGAUAUGUCAUGCAAGUUGAGCGCCCCGCAAGGGGAGCAGCAGACGAGGUAGUAACACGUGAGUACGCACCCCAAAGUCAGGAAUAGCUUAUCGAAAGAUAGGGUAAUACUUGAUGGCCUCCGACACCGUAAGGUCGUCGGAGUAAAGAUUUAUCGCUUUGGGAGCGGCUCGCGGGAUAUCAGCUAGUUGGUACGGUAACGGCGUACCAAGGCUAUGACGUCUAGGGGAGGUGAGAGCCUGACCCCCACCGAUAGCACUGAGACACGGGCUAUACACCUACGGGUGGCUGCAGACGAGAAUAUUCGACAAUGGGCGCAAGCCUGAUCGAGCGACGUCGCGUGAUGGAUGAAGUCCUUCGGGACGUAAACAUCUUUUGUCAGGGAGAACGUGGCAUUCAUGCCACACGAUAGUACCUGAAGAAUAAGGGGUUGCUAACUCUGU